rnacentral:rRNA from 1 species
UACGUAGGGUGCAAGCGUUAAUCGGAAUUACUGGGCGUAAAGCGUGCGCAGGCGGUUAUGUAAGACAGAUGUGAAAUCCCCGGGCUCAACCUGGGAACUGCAUUUGUGACUGCAUAGCUAGAGUACGGUAGAGGGGGGAUGGAAUUCCGCGUGUAGCAGUGAAAUGCGUAGAUAUCAGGAGAACACCGGUGGCGAAGGCGGCUGCGUCUGGACCACAACUGACGCUGAGGCGACGAAAGGCUAAGGGGAGGCAAACAGGAUUGAGAA